GGCGUGGUGUGGGACAGGCUGUCCGCCCGUCUCGGCGAGGCGGGACGGUCCGGGAUCGUCCCGAUCGCGAUG
rnacentral:tRNA from 1 species